rnacentral:rRNA from 1 species
GAGUUUGAUCAUGGCUCAGAACGAACGCUGGCGGCGUGCUUAACACAUGCAAGUCGAACGAGAACCAGAGCUUGCUCUGGUGAAAGCGGCGCACGGGUGAGUAACGCGUGGAUAACCUACCCUGGUGUCCGGGAUAACAUCUUGAAAAGGGUGCUAAUACCGGAUAAGCCCACGGGAUCUUCGGAUUCUGCGGGAAAAGGUGGCCUCUAUUUAUAAGCUACCGUAUCAGGAUGGGUCCGCGUACCAUUAGCUAGUUGGUGGUGUAAUGGACCACCAAGGCGACGAUGGUUAGCUGGUCUGAGAGGAUGAUCAGCCACACUGGAACUGAGACACGGUCCAGACUCCUACGGGAGGCAGCAGUGGGGAAUUUUGCGCAAUGGGGGAAACCCUGACGCAGCAACGCCGCGUGAGUGAUGAAGGCUUUCGGGUCGUAAAGCUCUGUCAGUGGGGAAGAAAUGUAGGAGUAUUAAUACCACUUUUACUUGACGGUACCCACAAAGGGAGCACCGGCUAACUCCGUGCCAGCAGCCGCG